GGUGGUAACCUUGUGGGAAACUUGUAUAAAAGAGACCAUAAACACUCACUUCAUCCAGACCUGCUUAACCCCCAAUACGUAGCCUCAUCUCGUUAUUGUAGGGAACUGCUAUAAUCACACUGGGGAUUGCUAUACUUUUUAUACUCCCCUGAGCUCUAAUCACUUAGCUCUUUUAAGAGCUGUUCCUGAUACGCUCCUGGAGGAGAGGUCUUUCCCACACGGUCC